rnacentral:lncRNA from 1 species
AAUUUAAAAAGUACCCCAUCUUCCUCUCAUUGUAUCAAAUUGUGAAACUCUCUCUGCCUCUAGCCGCCAUCAACGUUGAAUUUUCAGGCGAAUCAACGUCGAUUGAGAACUCAUUUUAAGUUUAUAAUCCGCCGUCAGGUAGUUUUUGACCUUCAAUCAACAAUCCUGUUAAUUUACCCAUCUCAAGUCUUGUUAAGUGUGGGAUUUUCGGGGUUUUAUGUUGAUUGCUUGUGGGGUUUGGAGAUGUGAGGUCUGGGCUAAAAAAAGCAUGUAAAGAAAUGGCUGCUUCUGAGGUUUCGACUAUGGGUUACACGAAUCCUGUAACGGUGGAAAAUGGAAUUUCAAGCAUCUGGAAAUGUAAAAAUUUCGGCGAUUAUUUGGAAUUUUUCGAUUUUUUUCUGGCUUCUGAUUUUUGAGUUUAUUUUGUUAGUGGAUGCUGAGACAACGCUGUAUACGGAGCUAUGGAAGGCAUGUACUGGUCCCCUUUAGUUACUGUGCCUCGUGAAAAUGAGCUUGUUUUCUAUUUCCCUCAAGGUCACAUAGAACAUGUUUUUCUUUUUUACUUUACUAUUUCAGAGUGUGUGGAAUGUGGAAUGUCUGUGUAAAAUUUCUUUUCACCCCUCAUAAUAAUUUGAAGUAAUUGCAAGGGCCUUGUUCUUAACUGGUUAUAAAAUUGGAGUUCCACAUCUUCAAAUCAAGAUUUAUUUGUGUGAUCAAUGAUGUAACAAAAUUCGGGCACUCUGUUUUUGUUGUGUUGUUUAAAUUGAUCUCCAAGUUUGUACACGGAUAAUGGAGGUGCCAACGAGAUAAAAAUAUUUACAAUUAUCAAAAAUUUGUAAAUUAACAUAAAUUUUGCUCCUUGCAUUGUGUAUCACCUUUUCAGAUUUCAGCUUCCAUGGUUGUUGGUUUUCAUGUUUGCUCUUAAGUUAAUUAAAUAGUCAUAGCUUUGUGUUUUCAAUUGCUAAGUUUCAAUUAAUCGUCUUCUUUGCAAGAGCUGAGUUAAGAAGAAAGGUAAUGACUUUGAUCACUGCGUGAAUCAUAAGUUGAAAUAAGACAAAUUUGUUCAAGUCAAAUAACAUAACGAAGUGUGCGUGAAGGUUCUUGUUAGAAAUGAUUUAAUUCUAACUUGAAUUAGUUUCAAGGCUCUUGUUAUAAGCUUGGAAUAUAGCAUAAUAAUUUAGCCCUGUUUGGCCCCUAUUAAAUUUCAUUACAUUACAUUCUAUUUUUUUUCCUAUUUUCAACCACACAAUCUUUUAUAAAAUAAUAUUACACGUAAAUCAAAAAAAUUUCCUUCUUUUUCAACCACUCAUUUUUCAAAAAAAAAAAAAAAAAAAAAAAAAAAAAAAAAAUAUGCCACCCAACCACUUAUUUUUCAAAAAAAAAAAAAAAUACUAUUCCACCCAUUUUCAUUUCUAGAAAAUGGGGGCCAAACGGGGGCUUAAUCCAACAAACUGGUAUUUUUAUACAUCUUGCAAUUUUUAUUUUUAUUUUUUUGUAUGUUUAAACAUUAUAUCUCCCGUAAAAUUCUGCUCUAUUUAUAAGUUAAUAGUUUUUGGGUGGUAGUAAAUAAAUUUGUUUGAGCUAGUUUGUUUAGUUUAUUCGUCUUCAACAAAACUUUUUAAAAAAAAAAUUCCGUUUUUCUUUAUUGGGAGGAGGUGUUUUUAAAAACAAGUUAAGCUCCUUGGUUUAACGUUAAUUUGACUUGGAUUGAAAGUUGAAGUUCAAAAAUUGAAUCAGCAAUGCAAAUUAACAGUAAUUUGACUAGGUAUCAUAGAGUGCGUCAAUUUUUAGCUGUUUUUCAUGACAUUUGUUAUCCUUGACAUUGUUUAAUUAGGUUAUUGGAGCAGCGUGUCAUACAUUUUAACAGUGUCACAUACUGGUUGUUUAUUUUUGUGUUGUUCUUUUUGAAAAGAUUUCAUACUUUUUGUUACUACUUUUUUUUUUUAAAAAUUUUUUUUUUUUUUUUUUUUUUUUUUUUUUUUUUUUUUGGGGAUUGUUUUGAUGCCAUCAUGAUGUUAAAUGCUCGAGUUAGAUAUACUGCUUUUGCAUUCUACCCUAGAGACCAUGUCACUGACUCACUGCAUCUUUGAAUUUUUUUAUUCAUUAUAAUGUAGAAGAGUGGAAUGCCAGCCUCUAAUUUUUUUUAACCUUUGUGGAAAUUCUACAUCACAAAACCUUGACCUUUGUUCGUUCAAUUCUCAAUGGUAAGAACAAGGUCAAAUUUUGUAUCAAUGUUGAGAUAACGUUCAAGUUUUAUUCUUGGUUUAUUCGAAAGAAGUGUAAUUGAUGGUUUUGCAUCCAUGCCUGUGAUUGUAAUUCUGGUGAAAGUUUUAGAGGAAAGAGAGUUGUAGUUGUGGGAUGUGGAACUUGAGGCAUGGAAGUGUCUCUUGAUCUUUGCAACCAUGAUGUGAUUUAUAGGUUUUCUUUUUUAGGUUCAUAUAUUGCCAAUGGUUCUUACUUAUUUUUCUUUGCUUUUUUUCGUGAUUAUAAUUGGUACAAAUGUCUAAAAUGUGGUAUCUAUCUUUAUCUCCUUUUUUUAUAGGUCGGGAUCGAUAUUUAAGGCAUAGCUCAGUCGAAGAUUGCUGAGAAGAAAAUUACAGAGGCCGAUAGAGUGGUUUCACAUACUACUUAGCUAGUUUUUUUUUUUUUGGAAAAAUGUAUUGGGUUUUUAGGUGUUUUAGAAUUUUGGAUCUAGAUUUUAUACGAAUAUUGUUACAUUUUAGAGUUCAAUUAAUAAUUAUUAUUGGAG